rnacentral:tRNA from 1 species
GGCUUCAUAGCUCAAUUGGUUAGAGCGUUGCACCGGUAUCGCAGGGUCACAGGUUCAAACCCUGUUAAAGUCC